AUCACUUCUCAGCCUUUUGGCUAAGAUUAAGUGUAGUAUAGAAGAUAGCUCUUCCCCCAUUAGACCUCAAAAUUCUAGUUCAAGGUUUCCCACAAUAGGGCAGUAGAGAUUUUUUUUCAAUAUAUUGCAAUUAAUGUAAUGUAAUUAGGGGGAAAGAGUUA